rnacentral:rRNA from 1 species
AACGUAGGAGACAAACGUUAUCCGGAGUUACUGGGCGUAAAGGGCGUGUAGGCGGUUUGUUAAGUCUGGCGUGAAAGCUCUCGGCUAAACCGGGAGAGGUCGUUGGAUACUGGCAAACUAGAGGACGGUAGAGGCGUGUGGAAUUCCGGGUGUAGUGGUGAAAUGCGUAGAGAUCCGGAAGAACACCAGUGGCGAAGGCGGCUCACUGGCCCGGUACUGACGCUGAGGUGCGAAAGCGUGGGGAGCAAACAGG